rnacentral:rRNA from 1 species
GAUGAACGCUGGCGGCGUGCCUAAUACAUGCGAGUCGAGCGAACGGACGAGAAGCUUGCUUCUCUGAUGUUAGCGGCGGACGGGUGAGUAACACGUGGAUAACCUACCUAUAAGACUGGGAUAACUUCGGGAAACCGUAGCUAAUACCGGAUAAUAUUUUGAACCGCAUGGUUCAAAAGUGAAAGACGGUCUUGCUGUCACUUAUAGAUGGAUCCGCGCUGCAUUAGCUAGUUGGUAAGGUAACGGCUUACCAAGGCAACGAUGCAUAGCCGACCUGAGAGGGUGAUCGGCCACACUGGAACUGAGACACGGUCCAGACUCCUACGGGAGGCAGCAGUAGGGAAUCUUCCGCAAUGGGCGAAAGCCUGACGGAGCAACGCCGCGUGAGUGAUGAAGGUCUUCGGAUCGUAAAACUCUGUUAUUAGGGAAGAACAUAUGUGUAAGUAACUGUGCACAUCUUGACGGUACCUAAUCAGAAAGCCACGGCUAACUACGUGCCAGCAGCCGCGGUAAUACGUAGGUGGCAAGCGUUAUCCGGAAUUAUUGGGCGUAAAGCGCGCGUAGGCGGUUUUUUAAGUCUGAUGUGAAAGCCCACGGCUCAACCGUGGAGGGUCAUUGGAAACUGGAAAACUUGAGUGCAGAAGAGGAAAGUGGAAUUCCAUGUGUAGCGGUGAAAUGCGCAGAGAUAUGGAGGAACACCAGUGGCGAAGGCGACUUUCUGGUCUGUAACUGACGCUGAUGUGCGAAAGCGUGGGGAUCAAACAGGAUUAGAUACCCUGGUAGUCCACGCCGUAAACGAUGAGUGCUAAGUGUUAGGGGGUUUCCGCCCCUUAGUGCUGCAGCUAACGCAUUAAGCACUCCGCCUGGGGAGUACGACCGCAAGGUUGAAACUCAAAGGAAUUGACGGGGACCCGCACAAGCGGUGGAGCAUGUGGUUUAAUUCGAAGCAACGCGAAGAACCUUACCAAAUCUUGACAUCCUUGGACAACUCUAGAGAUAGAGCCUUCCCCUUCGGGGGACAAAGUGACAGGUGGUGCAUGGUUGUCGUCAGCUCGUGUCGUGAGAUGUUGGGUUAAGUCCCGCAACGAGCGCAACCCUUAAGCUUAGUUGCCAUCAUUAAGUUGGGCACUCUAAGUUGACUGCCGGUGACAAACCGGAGGAAGGUGGGGAUGACGUCAAAUCAUCAUGCCCCUUAUGAUUUGGGCUACACACGUGCUACAAUGGACAAUACAAAGGGCAGCGAAACCGCGAGGUCAAGCAAAUCCCAUAAAGUUGUUCUCAGUUCGGAUUGUAGUCUGCAACUCGACUACAUGAAGCUGGAAUCGCUAGUAAUCGUAGAUCAGCAUGCUACGGUGAAUACGUUCCCGGGUCU